CAUGGGGAGCUUGCUCCUUUGACGUUAGCGGCGGACGGGUGAGUAACACGUGGGUAACCUACCUAUAAGACUGGAAUAACUCCGGGAAACCGGGGCUAAUGCCGGAUAACAUUUAGAACCGCAUGGUUCUAAAGUGAAAGAUGGUUUUGCUAUCACUUAUAGAUGGACCCGCGCCGUAUUAGCUAGUUGGUAAGGUAACGGCUUACCAAGGCAACGAUACGUAGCCGACCUGAGAGGGUGAUCGGCCACACUGGAACUGAGACACGGUCCAGACUCCUACGGGAGGCAGCAGUAGGGAAUCUUCCGCAAUGGGCGAAAGCCUGACGGAGCAACGCCGCGUGAGUGAUGAAGGGUUUCGGCUCGUAAAACUCUGUUAUUAGGGAAGAACAAACGUGUAAGUAACUGUGCACGUCUUGACGGUACCUAAUCAGAAAGCCACGGCUAACUACGUGCCAGCAGCCGCGGUAAUACGUAGGUGGCAAGCGUUAUCCGGAAUUAUUGGGCGUAAAGCGCGCGUAGGCGGUUUCUUAAGUCUGAUGUGAAAGCCCACGGCUCAACCGUGGAGGGUCAUUGGAAACUGGGAGACUUGAGUGCAGAAGAGGAAAGUGGAAUUCCAUGUGUAGCGGUGAAAUGCGCAGAGAUAUGGAGGAACACCAGUGGCGAAGGCGACUUUCUGGUCUGUAACUGACGCUGAUGUGCGAAAGCGUGGGGAUCAAACAGGAUUAGAUACCCUGGUAGUCCACGCCGUAGACGAUGAGUGCUAAGUGUUAUGGGGGUUUCCGCCCCCUUAGUGCUGCAGCUAAACGCAUUAAGCACUCCCGCCCUGGGGGGAGGUACGACCGCAACGUUUGAACUCAAGGAAUUUGGACUGGGACCCGCACAAAGCAGUGUAAGUCCAU
rnacentral:rRNA from 1 species